AAAAAAGCCCGCUCGCCGUAAGCGCAAGGUUUUCUACGCAACGUUCAUCGGCGUAGAGUGAGUCGGCCCCUAAGGCGAGGCAGAGAUGCGUAGCUGAUGGGAAACAGGUCAAUAUUCCUGUACCGAUGUGUAGUGCGAUGUGGGGACGGAUCUUAAUAAGUCAUCCGGGUGUUGGAUAUCCCGGUUUAGCUGGAUGUAGGCGAUGGGCAGGCAAAUCCGCCCGUCAUAUACCGAGGCCAGUGAUCGAGCAAGCUUGCUUGUGAAGUGAUCGAACGAGGUUCCAGGAAAAGCCACUAAGCUUCAGCUGCACACGACCGUACCGCAAACCGACACUCGUGCGCGAGAUGAGUAUUCUAAGGCGCUUGAGAGAACUCGGGAGAAGGAACUCGGCAAAUUGACACCGUAACUUCGGAAGAAGGUGUGCCCUAUUAGUGUGAAGCGAACAGCGGAGCAUGAACGGGUUGCAAAGAAUCGGUGGCUGCGACUGUUUAUUAAAAACACAGCACUCUGCAAACACGAAAGUGGACGUAUAGGGUGUGACGCCUGCCCGGUGCUGGAAGAUUAAAUGAUGGGGUGCAAGCUCUUGAUUGAAGUCCCAGUAAACGGCGGCCGUAACGAUAACGGUCCUAAGGUAGCGAAAUUCCUUGUCGGGUAAGUUCCGACCUGCACGAAUGGCGUAACGAUGGCCACACUGUCUCCUCCCGAGACUCAGCGAAGUUGAAAUGUUUGUGAUGAUGCAAUCUCCCCGCGGAAAGACGGAAAGACCCCAUGAACCUUUACUGUAGCUUUGUAUUGGACUUUGAACAGAUCUGUGUAGGAUAGGUGGGAGGCUUUGAAGCAGGGUCGCUAGAUCUUGUGGAGCCAACGUUGAAAUACCACCCUGGUGUGUUUGAGGUUCUAACCUAGGUCCAUUAUCUGGAUCGGGGACCGUGCAUGGUAGGCAGUUUGACUGGGGCGGUCUCCUCCCAAAGCGUAACGGAGGAGUUCGAAGGUACGCUAGUUACGGUCGGACAUCGUGACGAUAGUGCAAUGGCAUAAGCGUGCUUAACUGCGAGACUGACAAGUCAAGCAGAUGCGAAAGCAGGACAUAGUGAUCCGGUGGUUCUGUAUGGAAGGGCCAUCGCUCAGCGGAUAAAAGGUACUCUGGGGAUAGCAGGCUGAUACGGCCCAAGAGUUCAUAUCGACGGCGGUGUUUGGCACCUCGAUGUCGGCUCAUCUCAUCCUGGGGCUGUAGCCGGUCCCAAGGGUAUGGCUGUUCGCCAUUUAAAGAGGUACGUGAGCUGGGUUUAAAACGUCGUGAGACAGUUUGGUCCCUAUCUUCCGUGGGCGCUGCAGAUUUGAGGAAGCCUGCUCCUAGUACGAGAGGACCGGAGUGGACACACCUCUGGUGUAUCGGUUGUCACGCCAGUGGCAUUGCCGAGUAGCUAUGUGUGGAAGAGAUAAACGCUGAAAGCAUCUAAGCGUGAAACUCGUUUCAAGAUGAGAUCUGCCGGGGCCUUGAGCCCCCUGAAGAGUCGUUCGAGACCAGGACGUUGAUAGGCAGGGUGUGGAAGCGCAGUAAUGCGUUAAGCUAACCUGUACUAAUUGCUCGUGUGGCUUGACCCU
rnacentral:rRNA from 1 species